CAGAAUGGCCAGAUUAGAGAAAACAGAAUAUUCUAGAAUGCACACACCAUGUGGAACAUCGAGUUCUGCAGCCAACUAUCAACACCCACGUGGUAUGAGGGCCAAGGACAGCAUUGAUAACCCUUCCGUCCACAUGAACAUGCAGGGAUGUGUGCGGGGCUGUCAGAAGAAUUCUCAGGAGUCUUCACCGGAAAAAAAAGUGCUUACAGGGGCUUUCCAAAUGACAAAUGAUGGCAUGUAUGUACAAAAGAGAGAGAGAGAAAGAGAGAAAGAGCUGUCAAUUAUGAAGCUGUGCUACCAUCUUGCCAAUUUCGAUACCCUUUCCCCGAGAACUCCCUUCUUUUCAUGAGAAAAGGUGACUCUAGCUGCAACAAAUGAGGAAAAAAAAAAUACAAAUACACAUCCAUCCAAUUAAAAUUGUGACUUAAAAAG